rnacentral:lncRNA from 10 species
GGCUGGGGGAGCAGCCGUUGGCUCUGGUGCCCCUGGGGGUGGGAGCACGAGUGGGCAAGGAUGAUGGUGAGGCAGAGGAGGCGGCCCCGAGGGAGCGCCCGGCUGAGAGGCGGGGGGCCGAGGGGCCCGGGGAGCGGGCGUCACCGAGGGCCCUGGAAGCGGCAGGGCUGGGGGAGAGGAGACGCGUGUGUGGAGCAUGGGGACCCCAGCCCAGCUCCCACUUGCAGACCUGGGCCGCGGGCUGCCGGCCGAGUGGCCGGGGGGCCUGGCUGCCCAGGAGGCGGGCCGGGGCCGCGGCCGGGGGCGCGGAGCGGAGUUAGGGUCGCCAGGCCGAGCCGAGGUGGGACGGACCGACGCAGAGAGGAAGGGAAGCCACCUGGCCUGAAGAUCCUGUCUCUAAGAUCCCAUUCUGAGGCUUCGAGGGUCUGGCUUGAGCAGCACAGACAGGGACGUGUCUAACCGGGAUGACCAUGAGGUCUCAUCGCAGUUUGCCACUAACCAGGUCCACGCUGCUUUUAUGAGCUGUAACACUCACCGCGAAGAUCUGCAGCUUCACUCCUGAGCCCAGCGAGACCACGAGCCCACCGGGAGGAACAAACAACUCCAGACGCGCUGCCUUAAGAGCUGUAACACUUGCCGUGAAGGUC